rnacentral:tRNA from 1 species
GUGGCUCAGUGGUAGAGUGCUUGCCUUGCAUGCAUGAGGCCCUAAGUUCGAUUCCUCAGC